AUGCGCCUUCUUCUUCUUCGCCUUCCCCUUCUCCCCCUCCAUGACCUCCGUGAUGAGGUCCGCGAUGGCGUCGCGCCGGACGCUGCCGUCGAUCUCCAUGCCAACGCCCCAUUCGGUGCACUGGUACCGGCAGUUGGUCUGCUGGUCCGCCAAGAACGGCCAGCUGAUGACGGGCACGCUGCCGCACAUGCUCUCCAGCGUCGAGUUCCAGCCGUUGUACGUCAGGAACGCGCCCACGGCCGGGUGGCGCAGCACCUCCUGCUGCGGACACCAGGAGACCACCAGCCCGCGCCCCGCCGUCUCGUCCGAGAACUCCGGCGGCAGCACAGCGGUGUCGCCCUUGACGAGGUCCGGGCGGAUGACCCAGAGGAAGUGCCUGCCACUCUUGGCCAGCCUCCACGCGAACUCCACCAGCUGCUCGUUGGUCAUGACGGUGAUGCUGCCGAAGUUGACGUACACGACGGAGCCGGUGUCCUUGGCAUCGAGCCACGGGAGGCACUCCUCCUCCGGCUUCCAGAGGCUCAUGCUGAUGGUGGAACUCGGACCCUUGAGCGGUGCCAGCAGCGAGAGCGGGACGAUGGUGUAGAAGUUGGGCAGGCCGAGCGCCUCCAUGUCCGCCACUGCCUCCCCCUCGAGGUCGCCAAAGGUGUUGACGAUCACGGCAGCCGCGCCGUCCGUGCCUCCGCUAUACCGAGCGCGAAAUGCAGCAUGUAG
rnacentral:rRNA from 1 species